rnacentral:rRNA from 1 species
GACGAACGCUGGCGGCGUGCUUAACACAUGCAAGUCGAACGGGCCUUGUCCCCUUUUUUUUUGGGGGUGGGGUUAGUGGCGAACGGGUGAGUAACACGUGAGUAACCUGCCCCUCACUUCUGGAUAACCGCUUGAAAGGGUGGCUAAUACGGGGUGUUCUGGCCUGCUCGCAUGGGUGGGUUUGGAAAGAUUCGACCGGUUUUGGUUGUUCUGGUGGGGGAUGGGCUCGCGGCCUAUCAGCUUGUUGGUGGGGUGAUGGCCUGCCAAGGCUUUGACGGGUAGCCGGCCUGUGAGGGGUGGCGGGCACACGGGGACUGAGACACGGCCCAGACCCCUAAGGGAGGCAGCAGUGGGGAAUAGUGCAGAAGGGGCGCAAGCCUGAUGCAGCGACGCCGCGUGAGGGAUGGAGGCCUUGGGGGUGAGAACCUCUUUCGGCAGGGAAGAAGGUCCUGCUCUUUGUGGUGGGGUUGACGGUAGCUGGGUUAAUGAAGCGCCGGCUAACUACGUG